GAUGAACGCUGGCGGCGUGCUUUACACAUGCAAGUCGAACGGUGAAGGUGGAGCUUGCUCCGCCGGAUCAGUGGCGAACGGGUGAGUAACACGUGGGCAACCUGCCCCUAACUUUGGGAUAACUACUCGAAAGAGUAGCUAAUACCGGAUAUGAAGUCUGUAGGCAUCUAUGGAUUUGGAAAGUUUUUCGGUUAGGGAUGGGCCCGCGGCCUAUCAGCUUGUUGGUGAGGUAGUGGCUCACCAAGGCGACGACGGGUAGCCGGCCUGAGAGGGCGACCGGCCACACUGGGACUGAGACACGGCCCAGACUCCUACGGGAGGCAGCAGUGGGGAAUAUUGCGCAAUGGGCGAAAGCCUGACGCAGCAGCGCCGCGUGCGGGAUGAAGGCCUUCGGGUUGUAAACCGCUUUCAGCAGGGAAGAAGCGAAAGUGACGGUACCUGCAGAAGAAGCACCGGCUAACUACGUGCCAGCCGCCGCCGUAA
rnacentral:rRNA from 1 species